UUCCUUCGGGAUGACGUUUUUAAACUUAGUGGCGGACGGGUGAGUAACGCGUGAGUAACCUGCCUUGGAGUGGGGAAUAACAGCCGGAAACGGCUGCUAAUACCGCAUGAUGUAUCUGGAUCGCAUGGUUCUGGAUACCAAAGAUUUAUCGCUCUGAGAUGGACUCGCGUCUGAUUAGCUAGUUGGUGAGGUAACGGCUCACCAAGGCGACGAUCAGUAGCCGGACUGAGAGGAAGGUCCCCACAUUGGAACUGAGACACGGUCCAAACUCC
rnacentral:rRNA from 1 species